rnacentral:rRNA from 1 species
AUUGAACGCUGGCGGCAUGCCUUACACAUGCAAGUCGAACGGCAGCACGGGAGCAAUCCUGGUGGCGAGUGGCGAACGGGUGAGUAAUAUAUCGGAACGUGCCCAGUAGUGGGGGAUAACUGCUCGAAAGAGCAGCUAAUACCGCAUACGACCUGAGAGUGAAAGGGGGGGAUCGCAAGACCUCUCGCUAUUGGAGCGACCGAUAUCAGAUUAGCUAGUUGGUGGGGUAAAGGCCUACCAAGGCAACGAUCUGUAGUUGGUCUGAGAGGACGACCAGCCACACUGGGACUGAGACACGGCCCAGACUCCUACGGGAGGCAGCAGUGGGGAAUUUUGGACAAUGGGCGCAAGCCUGAUCCAGCAAUGCCGCGUGCAGGAAGAAGGCCUUCGGGUUGUAAACUGCUUUUGUCAGGGAAGAAAUCCUCUAGGUUAAUACCCUUGGGGGGAUGACGGUACCUGAAGAAUAAGCACCGGCUAACUACGUGCCAGCAGCCGCCGCGGUAA